UACGUAGGCAGCAAGCGUUGUUCGGAAUUACUGGGCGUAAAGGGUGCGUAGGCGGCUUUUAAGUUUGGUUGUGAAAUCUCCCGGCUCAACUGGGAGGGUGCGCCGAAUACUGAGAAGCUAGAGUGUGGGAGAGGAAAGUGGAAUUCCUGGUGUAGCGGUGAAAUGCGUAGAUAUCAGGAGGAACACCGGUGGUGUAAACGGCUUUCUGGACCAUAACUGACGCUGAGGCACGAAAGCGUGGGUAGCAAACAGG
rnacentral:rRNA from 1 species